UACGUAGGGACCAAGCGUUGUUCGGAUUUACUGGGCGUAAAGGGCGCGUAGGCGGCGCAACAAGUCACUUGUGAAAUCUCCGGGCUUAACCCGGAGCGGUCAAGUGAUACUGUCGUGCUAGAGUGCGGAAGGGGCUACUGGAAUUCUCGGUGUAGCGGUGAAAUGCGUAGAUAUCGAGAGGAACACCUGCGGCGAAGGCGGGUAGCUGGGCCGACACUGACGCUGAUGCGCGAAAGCCAGGGGAGCGAACGGG
rnacentral:rRNA from 1 species